UUUAAUGGAUUCUGUGCAUGUGUGUGUGAUGGCAUGGUAUGAUGUUGUAACAUGGUGAUGUGGUUUAGAGGUCGUUGACAAAAUGUUUGACAAUCAAUAUCGACUACGAAUUUAAUGUGUUGCCCUUUUUCAUUCCGUAAUCUGCAGCCAUCACUAACCAACACAACACAACACAGCACCGGCACUGGCACCUACCUCUCUAACUGCUCUGACAUCAAUGUAGAUGGUGGUUAUAUCUAUCGAUCUAGCCAUCUACAUUUGUGUGCGUGCAGGCAUGUGGGCUUAUAUUUGAAUAUGUGCAUGUGUGGUGUGUGUGUGUGUGUGUAUGUUCAUGUUUGUGUGUAGGAAAAAUUAGGUACAAGCGAAGAAGAUAUGCGCUCACACAUGCACAUAUGCUCAUACACAUGUGUAUAUAUAUAUAAAUAUAUAUAUAUAUAUAUAUACAUAUGGUGGUGCCCCAGCAUGGCCACAGCUCAUGAACUGAAACUAGAUAAAAUGAAAACAAAUGAAAAAUAAAAUGAUAUAUAUACAUACAUAAAUGUAUGCUCACACACACAUAUAUAUAUAUAUCUUUGUCAUUUGUAUAUACAUAAAUACACACACAUACAAUAUGCACACACACACACACACACACACACACACACAUGGAUGGAUAACUUACGUAGGUAGAUAGAACUGAUAAGGACACACAAAGAUAGAGGACCUAGGAUUAAAGGGACAGGUACACACGUACACACACACACACACACACACACAUUUAUUUAUUUAUACUGACAUACACAUGUGUGUGUGUGUGUGUAUAUAUGUAUGUGAUAGAUAAUGAUAGAUGGUUAAAGCUAUGUUAAGACUAACAGAUACAGAUAGACAAUGAGAUGAAGGGCAAGAAGGGAGAGCGGCGGUGGGGGGGGGGACAUUAUAUAAAUAGAUAUAAGAUAGAUCUCUAGAUAAACUGACUGUAUUUUCAUUAUCACUCCUGAUGAAUGAUGUAGCAUGGUUGACUGACAGACCAACCGACCGACUGACAAACUGACUGUUAACCUCACCAAUAUCACCACCACCAUCACCACCACCACCACCAUCACCGCCACCAUCAUCUACUUUAGUGCUCUCUCUCUGUCUUUUUCUCCUCCUCCUCUUCCUCCUCCUCCCUCCUCCCUCUGCUACUUGCUGAUGCACUGCAAUCAGGCAGGCAGACAGUCAGCCAGCUAGUCAGUCAGGCCGCCCCCCCCUCUCUUCAUCCAUUCUCCUCCUCCUCCUCUCCAUAGUAUUAUAUUCUACUACAACAUUUAUCUUGUGUAGUCCAUCCACAUACACACACAAGUCACCACAGUACUACACGCGUGCGCGUGCAUAUAUGUAUACAGAUAUACACUUAUACAUCUAUAUACACAAGAACAAACCAGGUGAUCAUAGUCAGUCGUCAUCAUUAUCAUCAUCGUCAUCAUCAUCAUCAUCACUAUAAAUAAUGCUAUGAUAAAUCACAAUACUACUGGCUUCUUCAGCUGUUCUCCCUCUCUUUCUCUUGCUGGGGUUUUUUUUCCCCCCACAAAUUAAGAAAACACGGAGAGGUGACAGUAAUUCUAGAUGGCAGUAACAACAAUUAAACGGUGAUUGCAAUAAUAAUAAUAAUAAUAAUAAUAAUAAUAAUUAAGAAUCGCUCUUAAUUCCAAGCAAAAAAAGAAACAAAAACAAAAAAAAAAGGCACACUGCUAUCUGGAAUUCUGGAAUCAGUUGUGAAGGAUUUGAAAAGAAGCAAAAUAGUUUGUUUGUUUGUUUUUUUAUUAUAUGUUUGGAAUAUACCAUCUUCAUCCAAGAGAGAAAUUAUGGAUGUUGACAAUAGCAGUUUCGGCCUGGAACAAGUGAAUGGUUCGACAGAUUUAGAUGUACAGGAUGGAAAUACGUACUCCAUACAACCAGCAACAUCAAUCAUUAGCUCAAGAAUACGGACGUCUCGUUCCCAUGAGUCCUUGCUGACGAAUCAGUCGAACAUGCACAACAUCGAGCUAAACAACACAGGAAGAUUGGACAUAAGGCCUGUUCACAACAGCCUUCUGGGACAGAAUGAAUGUUUCAGCAUUCCAACCCAGACUGGCAACAUGUAUUACUCUUGUAAAAACAAAGAAGAACAGAGAUCUUGGGUCGAUAGGUGAGUAAACCUGCUUUCUCCUUUUAUGUGUGCCUGUGCUUAUUUGGUGAGCUGUCAGAGUUGUUAUCAUAAAAUGCUUAGUGGUACUUCAUCUGUCUUCAUAUUGUGAGCCCAAAUGCUGCGAAGGGUGAUUUUGUCUGUCAUUCUCUUAGGGUUGAUAAAAUAAGUACCAGUUAAGCACUGGGGGUUAAUGUAAUCCAUUAGCUCCCCUGACCCCGAAUUUCAGGCCUUGUGCCUAAUGAAGAAUGGAUUAUUUAUUGUAAAGGCAUGUAUGUGUAUAUUGAAAAUUACUCUGCUGGCUGUUUGGUUAAGAAGCUUACUUUGAAGCCACAUGGUUUAGGUUCAAUCCUUCUAAGUGGCACCUUGGCUGACUGUCUUCUACUGUAGCCCUGGCAAACCAUUGCCUUGCGAGUGAAAUUGGUAGACAGAAACUGUGUGGAAGGCGGCGAGAUGGCAGAAUCGUUAGCACGCCAGGCGAAAUGCUUAGCGGUAUUUCAUCUGCCGUUAUGUUCUGAGUUCAAAUUCCGCCGAGGUCGACUUUGCCUUUCAUCCUUUCGGGAUUGAUAAAUUAAGUACCAGUUACACACUGGGGUCGAUAUAAUCGACUUAAUCCCUUUGUCUGUCCUUGUUUGUCCCCUCUGUGUGUAGCCCCUUGUGGGCAAUAAAGAAAUAGGAAACUGUGUGGAAGCUUAUCAUGUUUGCCUGUCUCACCGCUUUGUAACAGGUGUUGGUUUGUUUACGUCCCUGUAACUUAGCAGUUUAACAAAAGUGACCGAUAGAAUAAGCGUCAAACUUAACCCUUUUCCUGUUUAAAGAGGCACCUGCUUAAUGUUCAAACUGGCCAGAUCUGGCCUCUCACACCUACCCUACAAUAUCCUUCGAAAAUAGUACCAAACAUUAAAGAUGCAAUAGAUAGAUAAUUCAGUAUUAGUUUAGUAAAAAAAAAAAAUGUAAGAUAGCAGCAGGAUUAUAGUGCUAAGAUAAACCCUAUUAAAUACCAGGUGAUGGUAAUGGGGGAGUGUAAUGAUUUUGCCUGGUUCGUAAACAGCUUCCAUCUGCAGCCACUUGAUUGCUUGAGUGGUCAUCAGAUGGAUGAAGAGGAAUGGCACUUAGAUUCUUUAGACAAAGUAACCAUCCCAGUCAUACUUGUGCAAAAAAUGGGAGAAAUGGAAGUUUUAAAACAUAUAAAUUUACACGGAGUGGUUGUGUGAUAAGUAGCUUACUUGCCAGCCACAUGGUUCCGAGUUCAGUCCCACUGCGCGGUGCCUUGGGCAUGUGUCUUCUACUAUAGCCUCAGGUUAACCAAAGCCUUGUGAGUGAAUUUGGUAGACGGAAACUGAAAGAAGCCUGUCAUAUAUGUAUGUAUGUAUGUAUUUGUGUGUCUGUGUUUGUCUCCCCACCAUCGGUUGUCACUGAUGUUGGUGUGUUUAUGUCCCCGUAACUCAGCUGUUUGGCAAAAGGGACUGAUAGAAUAUGUACUAGGCUUACUAAGAAUAAUUCUUUGGGUCAAUUAGUUCAACUAAAGGCAGUGUUCCAGCAUGGCCACAGUCAAAUCACUGAAACAAGUAAAAGAAUAAAAGAAUAUAUAUAUUUAGAUAUAUAUAUAUAUAUGCAUGUAUAUUUGCUCCCACACCAAAUAAUCAAGGGGAUUGCAGCUUGGGGUGUUAGGUGGCCAGAUGUUAGGGGUGUUGUGGUCGCAGAAAUUGUCUGACAGCCAUGACUGGGAUCUCCUGCUUGUAUGGCAUGGUGUAGGGUCUUGUUUCCAGACAUAGGGUCUUCCAGCAGCCACCCUCUUGACCCAGGGCAGCACUACCUCCUCCUGGCUCUUGAUGUAGGCUUCUUUGUUGAGUGUGAGGCCAUGUGGGAAGAUGAAUGGAGACAUAACAUUGCCAUCACUAGUGAUCACUCCAAACACCAAGAUGUUGACUGGAUGUUUGAUUUUUAUCACUCUCGGUACAUGCACUGUCCUCAGAUUAAUGUCUAAACACUCUGAAAUGUUCAUACUAGAGCUUCCGGUGCAAAUGCGAAGCAGUACAGCAUGUUGUUUCCAAAUUUCUGGUAGAGUGAAUUGCACCAUAGUGUUGUUUUUCUCACAGCUGGUGCCCAACUGCCCCUUUUAUACUGUGUCAUUGACAAAAUCAAAAAUGAACAAUGUGCAUGCACGAAAUUGAAAAUAUAAAAUGGUGACAAUUUAUCCAUCGCACCCUGUAUUUGGCAGGUUUUUUACAGCUGGGUACCUUUCCUAACACCAACCACUCAACAAAGCACUAAGUCCACUCUGCUGAGUGGUUGGUGUUAGGAAGGGCAUCCAGCCAUAAGAAUCCUGCCGAAACAGUCACAGAAGUGUGGGUGCAGGCUUCUGCCUGGCCGGCUCUUGUGAAACUAUCCCACCCACGCUAGCAUGGAAGACGGAUGUUAAAUGGUGAUGUAUAUGUGUGUGUGUGUGUGUAUAUAUA